rnacentral:misc_RNA from 1 species
UCCUAGGCAUUCACCAUAGACUCUUAUUACUUUGACCAUAUUUUUAUCUUCCAUCUCUAUUUUGCCAAUUUGUUUAUGCAACAUAGAAUAAUAUAUAUCUUUGUUUAAUCCAUGUCAAUAUAUAUUUUAUUUUUUAUAUUAUUUGAAUAAAACAUUCAAAAACAUGAACAUCUAAAAACAUAAAAAAUAAAAUCAAUGUUUAAAGUAUAAAUAAAAACCCUGGCAAUAACUUACUCUCCCGCGAACUCGCAG